AAAAACCCACUAUCAGAGUUACUGUUACUCUCUCGUCUUCCUCCUCCGAAUCCCCAAUUCCUCAAUUCCGGCCAUGGCAGCCAAACCACGACUGUCCAGUUCAAUCGCUUACUCUCUAGUCUCCCUCCUUCGAAUCCCCAAUUCCAUUCCUCCAAGUCCUAACUCCCCAACUUCAAUUCCGGCCAUGGCAGCCAAACCGCGACUGUCCAGUUCAAUUGUUUACUCUCUCGUCUCCUUUAUCCGAAUCCCCAACUCCAUUCCUCGAAGCCCUAAGUCCCCAAAUUCAAUUCCGGCCAUGGCAGCCAAACCACGACUGUCCGGUUCAAUCGUUCAAUCCUUCGAGCACAGUCCACCACUACAUUCACCAAACACCCAAAACCCUAAAAUGGCAGCCAAACACCCUCCACCAAACCGCCGUCGGACUACCCUAAUUCCUUCGAUCCCCGACCUAGCGACGAUUUUCAACCGUCAGAUGACUCAGAUCCACCACACAUGCCAAAUUCCCAAUUUUACUUCACUCAUCCGUGCGAAACGGGGUCGUCCGGCGUCUUGUAUACUUCUCAUUCAACUGCGUAUCUUCCUCAGAGGGCUUUCACCUUUCAUCACAUUGGCUUUUGUCUUCUGUGUUCUCUGGUCAUCUUGUGCUCACUGCUUAAAGAGGGGCUUUCACCUGUCAUCACAUUGGCUUUUUUCUUCUGGGUUCUCUGGUCAUCUUGUGCUCACUGCUUAAAGGAGAAAGCAUUUUGGAUUUGGAAAAAUGGAAUGGUUAAGCGCAGCCCAAUGUUUGCAGUUAGGGAAGCAACGCUUCGAUGCUGAGAGCUAUAUACUAGCAAUGAGGUUCUUUGCCCUGGGCCACAUUAUGGAUCGUAAUAAUGAGCAACUUCUCAAUGGUUUUCGGGCCUCAGCAUCCAGUUAUACUCAUCAAUUAUGGAUUAGUAACUUGGCACAGCAAUAUCCAGUGUAUCAUGGAGUUCAACGUGUGGUAAACCAGAAUGCCAGAGUUUUCUACCAACCUGGAAUGUCAGCUUUCAUGAAUGAGGAAUUUGAAGUUGCUCGGCUAUAUUUUGGUGAAGCAUUAACUUGGGAUGCAACAAACGCUCACUUGUUGGAGUGUUUUCGAGCUUCGGUGGAGUUAGAAUACCAAAGGGCACAAAGAAUGAUGAGGCAAAGGGAACAAAGAGCAAUCUGAGCUCAUUUGAAAAUCAUAAAUGGCCGACUAAUGUAGAGAUACACACACUCAAUUUUCAAGAUUUGCUGGAAGGGCUUGGUCAAACUUCAGAGAAAAAAGAUGAUCCAAGUCAAAUAUUAGCUUUUAUGAAAUUCAUUAGUUGUUUCAAUUUUACAUAUGAGGGUUUUGAUGAAAAUGCGUCUCUGAGAAAAUUUGUAUAUGAGAGAACAUAGGAGGAGGUUGAAUCAUUGUUCUUUUUAAUUUUACAGCUUGAAUGUGUUGUUGGGAACUUGGGAUAGUGACUUUUAAUUAGAAUGAUGUUUAGAGUAACCUGUAACCCUGUCUAAAACCAGUGAUGUUUAAUCUUUGUUUAUUAUGUGUCA